rnacentral:lncRNA from 1 species
AAGCUAUGUUGUUUCCAGUGACUCUCUUAAAUGCAGGGUUCAAGAAGAUGUCUCUCCUUCAGGCACAGCUUGUGAGCUAGAUGUAUUGAAAUUGCAUCCUUUGUGCAACUCCAUAAUCAGGCCUUGCUUCCAUUAGUCUAGGCACAUCUUCAUAAUAGUCAUUAGUGUGUGCUGUCUUAUGAUUCUAAAUAUGUUUAUGAAGAGAUUAUGGCUUUUGUUCUCAACUGGUCCAUUGUGCUAUUUUGAGUUUGAAGAAAUUCAGAGAUCUCUUACACAGCUACUCUAGGGUAGCAUUAGCCAAAGAAGAGCCAAAAGCUCGACUCUUCAGGGAUGGAGGAGGGUGCCUGGGUGGGAGGCACAGUGGAGGUGGAUGGCGGGCGGUGCAGACAGAUUAUGCCUUAGACUGUGAAUCUCUGCUUCCAGUGUAAGAGGAAAGAGUUUCCAGCCAGGAAAUGUAGCUUCUCAUCUAACUUCUUGGCUGCCCUCUGCUGCUCCUUAGUUGAACUUUGGAGGACCUCUGGUGUCCUGGAGGGUCCCAACUAGGUCUCAACAACAUGGUCUCGAGGGAAGUCUUGUCUCUGGAUAGCAAUAGGCCAAGUUGGCCUGAAAAUUGAUGUCCUCCGUACCUACGAUGCAGCAACUCAGGAUGGAGCCCAUGAUGCACAUUUCUGCUGGCCAGCAGAAGAGGUUGGGGUGACGACAGACAUGGCCCAGACCAGGCCGCACCGAGGCACACCCACCGCGCGAGGGUAUUUUUUUGCUCACUUGAGGUCUUCACUUAAGGCCUAUGCUUGUCACCUUAUCUACAAGGGACAGGGGGAGGAUCUUCAAGGACUUUGCAUUCAGGUUUAGUAUAGUUUGAACUAUGGUGAAGUCACCACCUGAUACUUCACUACCUGCUGGUCUCCCUAGCUGCUCUCCUGGAACAGCAGGUUCAAGAUGGGAGGCACUUCUAAGAAACUCAACUCCUCUGAGAAUCAUAAAAACAUACCCUGGCAUCCUCAAAGCAGUGCGUGUGUGCGCGCGUGCGUGUGUGUGAGAGAAGCCAGGGCAUAGCUUGUAAAUUAAUGUUGCAAUCCGUAUCCUGAUUUUUCUGAACUUGCUUUUAGCAUAUUAUUUGCCG